rnacentral:rRNA from 1 species
CCUACGGGUGGCAGCAGUGGGGAAUAUUGCACAAUGGGGGAAACCCUGAUGCAGCGACGCCGCGUGAGUGAAGAAGUAUUUCGGUACGUAAAGCUCUAUCAGCAGGGAAGAAAAUGACGGUACCUGACUAAGAAGCCCCGGCUAACUACGUGCCAGCAGCCGCGGUAAUACGUCGGGGGCAAGCGUUAUCCGGAUUUACUGGGUGUAAAGGGAGCGUAGACGGCAGCGCAAGUCUGGAGGGAAAUCCAAUUGCUUAACCAUGGAACUGCGUUGGAAACUGUGCAGCGAGAGUGCAGGAGAGGUGAGCGGAAUUCCUGGUGUAGCGGUGAAAUGCGUAGAUAUUAGGAGGAAAACCAGUGGCGAAGGCGGCUUACUGGACUGUAACUGACGUUGAGGCUCGAAAGCGUGGGGAGCAAACAGGAUUAGAUACCCCUGUAGUC